CUCUGGACGGUGGAUCACUUGGCUCGUAGAUCGAUGAAGAACGCAGCCAACUGCGUGAAGCAUGGCGAAUUGCAGGGCUUCAUGAAACCGCUACUUGUCGAACGCAUAUUGCGGCCCUGGCUCUCGGGCCAGGGGCACAUCCACCUGAGGGUUUG
rnacentral:rRNA from 2 species